UUCCGGUUGAUCCCGCCGGACCUGACUGCUAUCGGAUUGAUACUAAGCCAUGCGAGUCUUUGCAGUAAUGCAAGGCAUACGGCUCAGUAACACGUAGUCAACUUACCCUAUGGACGAGGAUAAUCUCGGGAAACUGAGCAUAAUACUCGAUAGAUCAUAAUGCCUGGAAUGGUUUACGGUUGAAAUGAUUCGUCGCCAUAGGAUGGGACUGCGGCCUAUCAGCUUGUUGGUGAGGUAAUGGCCCACCAAGGCGAUUACAGGUACGGGCUCUGAGAGGAGAAGCCCGGAGAUGGGUACUGAGACAAGGACCCAGGCCCUAUGGGGCGCAGCAGGCGAGAAAACUUUGCAAUGUGCGAAAGCACGACAAGGUUAAUCCGAGUGAUUUCUGCUAAAGAAAUCUUUUGCAAGUCAUAAAACCACUAGUGAAUAAGGGGUGGGCAAGUUCUGGUGUCAGCCGCCGCGGUAAAACCAGCACCUCAAGUGGUCAGGAGGAUUAUUGGGCCUAAAGCAUCCGUAGCCGGCUCUGUAAGUUUUCGGUUAAAUCCAUGUGCUCAACGCAUGGGCUGCCGAAAAUACUGCAUAGCUAGGGAGUGGGAGAGGUAGACGGUACUCGGUAGGAAGGGGUAAAAUCCUUUGAUCUAUCGAUGACCACCUGUGGCGAAGGCGGUCUACCAGAACACGUUCGACGGUGAGGGAUGAAAGCUGGGGGAGCAAACCGGAUUAGAUACCCGGGUAGUCCCAGCUGUAAACGAUGCAGACUCGAUGAUGCAUUGGCAUAUAGCCAGUGCAGUGUCGCAGGGAAGCCGUUAAGUCUGCCGCCUGGGAAGUACGUACGCAAGUAUGAAACUUAAAGGAAUUGGCGGGGGAGCACCACAAGGGGUGAAGCCUGCGGUUCAAUUGGAAUCAACGCCGGAAAGGGCGAAUUCCACAGUGG
rnacentral:rRNA from 1 species